rnacentral:rRNA from 1 species
GUGUCAGCAGCCGCGGUAAUACGGAAGGGGCAAGCGUUGUUCGGAAUCAUUGGGCGUAAAGGGCGCGUAGGCGGUCUUGUGUGUCUGCUGUGAAAGCAUGCGGCUCAACCGUAUAGGGUCGGUAGAAACUGCAAGACUCGAGGCUGGGAGGGGCUGGUGGAAUUCCCUGUGUAGCGGUGAAAUGCGUAGAUAUAGGGGAGAACACUCGUGGCGAAGGCGGCCAGCUAGACCAGUCCUGACGCUGAGGCGCGACAGCGUGGGGAGCAAACAGGAUUAGAAACCCCUGUAGUCC